rnacentral:lncRNA from 1 species
CGAUGAGGACGAGCUUGGCGAAGAGGUCGGGGCGGCGGAUGGAGGCGAGGAUGCCGAUCAUGGCGGAGACGGAGUGGCCGACGAAGGCGCAGCGCGGGAUGCGGAGCGCGUCGAGGAUGGAGAGCAGGUCGUCCACGUAGGCGUCCAGGUUGUUGUAGCGGCGGAAGUCGAAGUGGUCCGGGUUGACGCUGCCGGCGCAGACGAGGUCGUAGAGCACCACGCGGUGGUCGCGGGUCAGGUACGGCAGCACGCGGCUCCACGCGGACUGGUCCGUGCCGAAGCCGUGCGACAGCACCACCACGCGCUCGCCGGUGCCCACCACCCGCACGUUCAGGAUCUGCAGCAGCUUCGCCCCGCUCGGCGCGCCCCCGACCAUCGUCUCGCCGGAGCCGGACGCCGGGGCCGGGCUGCUGCCGCCGCUACUGCUGCUGCUGCUGGGGCUGAGGGGGUGCGUGGACCGGAGCAUGAGACGACUGACUUGGG